rnacentral:rRNA from 1 species
UACGGGGGGGGUAAGCGUUGUUCGGAAUUACUGGGCGUAAAGGGCUCGUAGGCGGCCAACUAAGUCAUACGUGAAAUCCCUCAGCUUAACUGGGGAACUGCGUGUGAUACUGGAUGGCUUGGAUUUGGGAGAGGGAUGCGGAAUUCCAGGUGUAGCGGUGAAAUGCGUAGAUAUCUGGAGGAACACCGGUGGCGAAGGCGGCAUCCUGGACCAUUACUGACGCUGAGGCGCGAAAGCUAGGGGAGCAAACGGG